AUUGAACGCUGGCGGCAUGCUUUACACAUGCAAGUCGAACGGCAGCGCGGGCUUCGGCCUGGCGGCGAGUGGCGAACGGGUGAGUAAUGCAUCGGAACGUGCCCAGUAGUGGGGGAUAGCCCGGCGAAAGCCGGAUUAAUACCGCAUACGACCUGAGGGUGAAAGCGGGGGACCGAAAGGCCUCGCGCUAUUGGAGCGGCCGAUGUCGGAUUAGCUAGUUGGUGGGGUAAAGGCUUACCAAGGCGACGAUCCGUAGCUGGUCUGAGAGGACGACCAGCCACACUGGGACUGAGACACGGCCCAGACUCCUACGGGAGGCAGCAGUGGGGAAUUUUGGACAAUGGGGCCAACCCUGAUCCAGCCAUGCCGCGUGCGGGAAGAAGGCCUUCGGGUUGUAAACCGCUUUUGUUCGGGAAGAAAUCCUCUGGGCUAAUACCCCGGGGGGAUGACGGUACCGGAAGAAUAAGCACCGGCUAACUACGUG
rnacentral:rRNA from 1 species